ACCAGAUGCAGGCUCCGGUUCCUGCGCACAGUUCGCGUCCACCUGACGACUGCUCAUGACAUUUGUCGGCC
rnacentral:sRNA from 2 species